rnacentral:ncRNA from 1 species
UAUAAAAAAGGCCCUGAACCGUAUUGCCAACACAAUACAACCAAGGAACCCGGUGAGAAUCCGGGGCUGUACCCGCAACUGUAAGUGAAUACUCACAAGCCAGAUACUUGGGUUCAGGAUAAUUAUGUC